rnacentral:rRNA from 1 species
ACGAGGGGCCCGAGCGUUAAUCGGAAUUACUGGGUGUAAAGCGCACGCAGGCGGCUGAUUAAGUCUGACGUGAAAUCUCCUGGCUUAACUGGGAGGGGUCGUUGGAAACUGGUCGGCUUGAGGCAGUGAGAGGGGUGUGGAAUUCCCGGUGUAGUGGUGGAAUGCGUAGAUAUCGGGAGGAACACCAGUGGCGAAAGCGGCGCCAUGGCACUGGCCUGACGCUCAUGUGCGAAAGCGUGGGGAGCGAACGG